GGAUGCGAUCAUACCAGCACUAAAGCACCGGAUCCCAUCAGAACUCCGAAGUUAAGCGUGCUUGGGCGAGAGUAGUACUAGGAUGGGUGACCUAAUGGGAAGUCCUCGUGUUGCAUUCC
rnacentral:rRNA from 16 species